rnacentral:misc_RNA from 1 species
AAGGACUACUCGGGUAUCUAAUCCCUUUCGCUCCCCUAGCUUUCGUCCCUCAGCGUCAGUACAAGCCCAGUAGAGCGCCUUCGCCACUGGUGUUCUUCCCAAUCUCUACGCAUUUCACCGCUACACUGGGAAUUCCCUCUACCCCUUCUGUACUCUAGUUCUCCCGUUUCCACCGCCUUUCCGAAGUUAAGCUUCGGUCUUUGACAGCAGACUUGAAGUUCCGCCUACGGACUCUUUACGCCCAAUGAUUCCGGAUAACGCUUGCAUCCUCCGUAUUACCGCGGCGGCUGGCAC